rnacentral:rRNA from 1 species
GAUGAACGCUGGCAGCGUGCCUAAUACGUGCAAGUCGAGCGAACGGACGAGAAGCUUGCUUCUCUGAUGUUAGCGGCGGACGGGUGAGUAACACGUGGAUAACCUACCUAUAAGACUGGGAUAACUUCGGGAAACCGGAGCUAAUACCGGAUAAUAUUUUGAACCGCAUGGUUCAAAAGUGAAAGACGGUCUUGCUGUCACUUAUAGAUGGAUCCGCGCUGCAUUAGCUAGUUGGUAAGGUAACGGCUUACCAAGGCAACGAUGCAUAGCCGACCUGAGAGGGUGAUCGGCCACACUGGAACUGAGACACGGUCCAGACUCCUACGGGAGGCAGCAGUAGGGAAUCUUCCGCAAUGGGCGAAAGCCUGACGGAGCAACGCCGCGUGAGUGAUGAAGGUCUUCGGAUCGUAAAACUCUGUUAUUAGGGAAGAACAUAUGUGUAAGUAACUGUGCACAUCUUGACGGUACCUAAUCAGAAAGCCACGGCUAACUACGUG